rnacentral:rRNA from 1 species
GACGUAGGGGGCGAGCGUUGUUCGGAUUUACUGGGCGUAAAGCGCGCGUAGGCGGCUAGAUAAGUCGGGUGUGAAAUCCCUCGGCUUAACCGAGGACCCGCAUCCGAUACUGCUUGGCUCGAAUCUAGGAGAAGAAAGCGGAAUUCCCAGUGUAGCGGUGAAAUGCGUAGAUAUUGGGAGGAACACCCGUGGCGAAAGCGGCUUUCCGGACUAGCACUGACGCUGAGGCGCGAAAGCUAAAAGAGCGAACGGG